GCUUUUGAGGAAUUGUCCUCUGCUACUCACUCAAAGAACCUGAGUCAGUUGCAGAGGACAAUUCCUCAAAAGCAAAAUCUACAGAGGGAAGGUAGUAAUGGUCAUCCUCCUGUAGCAUCACCAAAGCAUUUGGCACCUAUGAUGACAUUUUCUCAUGGUGGACCAUCAAUUCCUAAUUCUAUUGGCAAGGCUGCUAACAACUCUCGUGCUCUUCCAAUUGAUUCUUCUAAGCUUUCUCCCCAGCCAAUGCGUACUUUGGAUGUCAAGGCGGAAGAAGAUCAGAAAUUGACAGAACAUUUCAUUCGUCUGCAGAAGUUCCUGAAACAGUGUGAUGAAGCAAACCAAACAGAAUACCUUCAGCUGCUUCUACGUUUGUCACCACCUGAGCUUAGCAGACAUGCCGUUGACUUGGAGAAAAGGGCUAUCCAGUUGACAAUAGAAGAAGGAAAGGAGAUGCAACGAGUGAAGAACCUCAAUGUUUUGGGAAAAUCCACCCUGUUUUCCAGCUUAACUCAGACAGUUCCAUUAGUCCCAAUCAAGAAAUGAUGAAGCUAAUGGCAAUAAUUCAUGUUGCACUGAUGCAAUGCCUGUUUUAAAACUUGUACUCCACUGGGUACAAGAUCUUGAGAGGAGGCUAUUAGGCGUUGGCUUCUUUAGACAUCUAUAGUCUUUUUUUUCU
rnacentral:misc_RNA from 1 species